UUAUUGUUUGUUGUCUGAAUCUGUCCAUUUGUAUUCCUUUUGACAAUCAAAUUAAAUUGCAAUUCUAUCCUACGAAAAAUGAAUUAGUUUUAGUUUAAAAUUCUCAAGUAAAAUGUUCCCAAUUUCAAAAUUAACAUCCCACAUUUCCAUGUUCAGUAUAUCAAACAUAAUCAUCCGAAAUAAUACAAUACAAUAAAUGAACAUUGUUGAAAAAAGUAUACAUUUUUAGCAUCCAACAGAAACCAAGCUCGCCAUGUUUAAAAGUUAGUAUAAAUAUUUUUUCUUCUCUGUCAACGUACAUAUCUGUUUUUAUCUCAGCUUAAAUGUUUAAUAUGUUUCAUUAAAGCGGUUGCUUCUUUUGAGAGACUGACAUUCUUGGACAAGGACCCCAAUAUGAACUCAAAUUUUAAGUCUGUAUAGUAAAAUGGUUUAUCAGAGUAUAAAUGAUAUACUGAAACAGUUAAUUUUUCAGACAUUGCCAUAUAUAACAAGUACAAAUGAAUACAAAUAAUGUAUUUUUGUCAAAUAUAAAAAGCUAUGCAACAAGUGUAAAAUGAUAAUUUUGUGAGAGGAAAAAAUGAAUAGUGGCAUAGCAAACAUUAUAAAUAAACAAUUAUGGUCACUUCAAAUUAUUGUAGAUUACAUUUUAGUACUUUUCAAUCUUUCUGAUAUUCAGCCAUUUGUUUGACAAAUCAUUUUGCAUUAAAUAAAUUUUCCAUUGUAUUAACUUUUAUUCACCUAAUUUAACUGAUAUGUUUUACUCAAUUACACACCUCAAAUUCAAAUGUAUAUCAAGUUUUUUUCUGUUUUUCCCUGAACACGUAAAAAAGUCUCUCAUACUUAAUAAACCCCUGAAUGAAAAUCUACAUAUAACUUUAUGUGGCCAACAGUAAAUACCUAGCUAGCUGUAUAACAACAAUAUAUAUAACAGGUAUUGUUUUGAGGCAGAUAGUUCAAUUUAUCAAUUGUCAUCACACACAUCUGGAUUAGUACUGUCGACAAACACUAUAAUGUUGAAAAUUUACACAUUACACCAAUUUGUGUAUACAUUUUUCUGUUUUUCCUCUCCCUUUUGUACCAAUGUAUUUUAAGGGUAAUAUGGGAGAGAGCACACAAUACGGAGAUACAUGAAAUAGCUGUUUUUUUCUCAUACAGACUUAAUCCAUACCAAAAAACAUAAAUUGCAACCCAUAAGUAACCUUCAAACACAUUUUAAUCAUUAAACAGAGAGGAAAACUAGUACUUUGGGUUUGGACUACCAAAUUUUUUAGCUUUUGGGAACAUAAUUCCCAAAUGUAUCAAUCAUACUUAUUGCAUACUUUUAGUCGCUCUGGGAAUCAUAAAUGAUAAAACCACCAUAUAAGAUAUUGACAUCGGCAAA
rnacentral:lncRNA from 1 species